UGGGGAAUUUUGGACAAUGGGCGCAAGCCUGAUCCAGCAAUGCCGCGUGCAGGAUGAAGGCCUUCGGGUUGUAAACUGCUUUUGUACGGAACGAAAAAGCUCUCUCUAAUACAGGGGGUGAAUGACGGUACCGUAAGAAUAAGCACCGGCUAACUACGUGCCAGCAGCCGCGGUAAUACGUAGGGUGCAAGCGUUAAUCGGAAUUACUGGGCGUAAAGCGUGCGCAGGCGGUUUUGUAAGACAGAGGUGAAAUCCCCGGGCUCAACCUAGGAACUGCCUUUGUGACUGCAAGGCUGGAGUACGGCAGAGGGUGGUGGAAUUCCACGUGUAGCAGUGAAAUGCGUAGAGAUGUGGAGGAACACCGAUGGCGAAGGCAGCCCCCUGGGCCUGUACUGACGCUCAUGCACGAAAGCGUGGGGAGCAAACA
rnacentral:rRNA from 1 species